rnacentral:misc_RNA from 1 species
GAUGAAGAACGUAGCGAAAUGCGAUAAGUAAUGUGAAUUGCAGAAUUCCGUGAAUCAUCGAAUCUUUGAACGCAUAUUGCGCCCUCUGGUAUUCCGGAGGGCAUGCCUGUCCGAGCGUCAUUGCUGCCCUCAAGCACGGCUUGUGUGUUGGGCCCCGCCCCCCGAUCCCGGGGGGCGGGCCCGAAAGGCAGCGGCGGCACCGCGUCCGGUCCUCGAGCGUAUGGGGCUUUGUCACCCGCUCUGUAGGCCCGGCCGGCGCCUGCCGAUCAACCAAACUUUUUUCCAGGUUGACCUCGGAUCAGGUAGGGAUACCCGCUGAACUUAAGCAUAUCAAUAAGCGGAGGA